rnacentral:rRNA from 1 species
GAGACUGCAAGCGUUAUUCGGAUUCACAGGGCGUAAAGGGUGCGCAGGCGGUUGGGUGUGUCAGAUGUGAAAUCCCGAGGCUCAACCUCGGAACUGCGUCUGAAACUACUCAACUAGAGUACUGGAGAGGGUAACGGAAUUCACGGUGUAGCAGUGAAAUGCGUAGAUAUCGUGAGGAACACCAGAGGCGAAGGCGGUUACCUGGACAGUUACUGACGCUCAGGCACGAAAGCAUGGGGAGCAAAAGGGAUUAGAUACCCCUGUAGUCCAUGCCCUAAACGGUGCACACUAGGUCUUAGCGGAUUCGACCCCACUAGGGCCCAAGCUAACGCGUUAAGUGUGCCGCCUGAGGACUACGGUCGCAAGACUA